rnacentral:rRNA from 1 species
UUCCGGUUGAUCCUGCCGGACCUGACUGCUAUCGGAUUGAUACUAAGCCAUGCGAGUCUUUGUAGUAAUACAAGGCAGACGGCUCAGUAACACGUAGUCAACCUACCCUAUGGACGAGAAUAAUCUCGGGAAACUGAGCAUAAUUCUCGAUAGAUCAUAAUGCCUGGAAUGGUUUAUGGUUAAAAUGAUUCGUCGCCAUAGGAUGGGACUGCGGCCUAUCAGCUUGUUGGUGAGGUAAUGGCCCACCAAGGCGAUUACAGGUACGGGCUCUGAGAGGAGAAGCCCGGAGAUGGGUACUGAGACACGGACCCAGGCCCUAUGGGGCGCAGCAGGCGAGAAAACUUUGCAAUGUGCGAAAGCACGACAAGGUUAAUCCGAGUGAUUUCUGCUAAAGAAAUCUUUUGCCAGUCAUAAAACCACUGGUGAAUAAGGGGUGGGCAAGUUCUGGUGUCAGCCGCCGCGGUAAAACCAGCACCUCAAGUGGUCAGGAUGAUUAUUGGGCCUAAAGCAUCCGUAGCCGGCUUUGUUAGUUUUCGGUUAAAUCCAUGUGCUCAACGCAUGGGCUGCCGAAAAUACUGCAUGGCUAGGGAGUGGGAGAGGUAGACGGUACUCAGUAGGAAGGGGUAAAAUCCUUUGAUCUAUUGAUGACCACCUGUGGCGAAGGCGGUCUACCAGAACACGUUCGACGGUGAGGGAUGAAAGCUGGGGGAGCAAACCGGAUUAGAUACCCGGGUAGUCCCAGCUGUAAACGAUGCAGACUCGAUGAUGCAUUGGCAUAAUAGCCAUUGCAGUGUCGCAGGGAAGCCGUUAAGUCUGCCGCCUGGGAAGUACGUACGCAAGUAUGAAACUUAAAGGAAUUGGCGGGGGAGCACCACAAGGGGUGAAGCCUGCGGUUCAAUUGGAAUCAACGCCGGA